rnacentral:rRNA from 1 species
GAGUGUGGGUAGUCCAUAACGAGCGCACCCUUAUUUCUAGUUGCCAGCGGUUCGGCCGGGGACUCUAGAGAAACUGCCAGCGUAAGCUGUGAGGAAGGUGGGGACGACGUCAAAUCAUCACGGCCCUUACGUCCUGGGCCACACACGUGCUACAAUGGUGGGGACAACGAGUUGCCAACCCGCAAGGGUGAGCUAAUCUCUCAAACCCCAUCUCAGUUCGGAUCGGAGUCUGCAACUCGACUCCGUGAAGUUGGAAUCGCUAGUAAUCGCGCAUCAGCCAUGGCGCGGUGAAUACGUUCCCGGGCCUUGUACACACCGCCCGUCAAGCCAUGGAAUCUGGGGGCGCCUGAAGUCAGUAACCGCAAGGAGCUGCCUAGGGCGAAUCUGGUAACUAGGGCUAAGUCGUAACAAGGUAGCCGUACCGGAAGGUGCGGCUGGAUUAACUCCUUUUUAGAGAAAAACGACUCUC